rnacentral:rRNA from 1 species
AGGGCACCACCAGGAGUGGAGCCUGCGGCUUAAUUUGACUCAACACGGGGAAACUUACCCGGCCUGGACACUGGAAGGAUUGACAGAUUGAGAGCUCUUUCUUGAUUCAGUGGGUGGUGGUGCAUGGCCGUUCUUAGUUGGUGGAGCGAUUUGUCUGGUUAAUUCCGAUAACGAACGAGACUCUAGCCUAUUAAAUAGGCUCCCGGCUUUUAAACGCCGGGAGGACUUCUUAGAGGGACAGGUGGCGGUUCAGCCGCACGAAAGAGAGCAAUAACAGGUCUGUGAUGCCCUUUGUUGUCCGGGGCCGCACGCGCGCUACACUGAAGAGAUCAGCGUGCUUUAUGUUCCUGCUCCGACCAGAGUGGGGAACCCAGUGAACCUUCUUCGUGAUUGGGAUAGAAGAUUGUAAUUAUUCUUCCUGAACGAGGAAUUCCCAGUAAAUGCGAGUCAUGAGCUCGCGUUGAUUACGUCCCUGCCCUUUGUAUACACCGCCCGUCGCUACUACCGAUUGAACGAUUU